AAGUCGUAACAAGGUUUCCGUAGGUGAACCUGCGGAAGGAUCAUUAAAUAAUCAAUAAUUUUGGCUCGUCCAUUAUUAUCUAUUUACUGUGAACUGUAUUAUUACUUGACGCUUGAGGGAUGCUCCACUGCUAUAAGGAUAGGCGGUGGGGAUGUUAACCGAGUCAUAGUCAAGCUUAGGCUUGGUAUCCUAUUAUUAUUUACCAAAAGAAUUCAGAAUUAAUAUUGUAACAUAGACCUAAAAAAUCUAUAAAACAACUUUUAACAACGGAUCUCUUGGUUCUC
rnacentral:misc_RNA from 1 species